UGGUAAUGCCGGAUGUUCCACAUGAGCGCAUGCGAGUGUGGGAAAGGCUUUUUGCGGCAUGGGAUGGGGUCGCGUCCUAUCAGCUUGUUGGUGGGGUAACGGCCUACCAAGGCGUUGACGGGUAGCCGGCCUGAGAGGGCGACCGGCCACAUUGGGACUGAGAUACGGCCCAGACUCCUACGGGAGGCAGCAGUGGGGAAUAUUGCACAAUGGGCGCAAGCCUGAUGCAGCGACGCCGCGUGCGGGAUGGAGGCCUUCGGGUUGUAAACCGCUUUUGUUCAAGGGCAAGGCACGGUCUUUGGCCGUGUUGAGUGGAUUGUUCGAAUAAGCACCGGCUAACUACGUGCCAGCAGCCGCGGUAAUACGUAGGGUGCAAGCGUUAUCCGGAUUUAUUGGGCGUAAAGGGCUCGUAGGCGGUUCGUCGCGUCCGGUGUGAAAGUCCAUCGCUUAACGGUGGAUCCGCGCCGGGUACGGGCGGGCUUGAGUGCGGUAGGGGAGACUGGAAUUCCCGGUGUAACGGUGGAAUGUGUAGAUAUC
rnacentral:rRNA from 2 species